rnacentral:rRNA from 1 species
AGGCCCUACGGGGUGCAGCAGGCGCGAAAACUUUACAAUGCUGGGAACAGCGAUAAGGGAACCUCGAGUGCCAGGUUACAAAUCUGGCUGUCGUGAUGCCUAAAAAGCAUUAUAUAGCAAGGGCCGGGCAAGACCGGUGCCAGCCGCCGCGGUAACACCGGCGGCUCGAGUGGUAACCGUUAUUAUUGGGUCUAAAGGGUCUGUAGCCGGCCGGAUAAGUCUCUUGGGAAAUCUGGCAGCUCAACUGUCAGGCUUUCAGGGGAUACUGUCUGGCUCGAGGCCGGGAGAGGUGAGAGGUACUUCAGGGGUAGGGGUGAAAUCUUGUAACCCUUGAAGGACCACCAGUGGCGAAGGCGUCUCACCAGAACGGACCUGACGGCAAGGGACGAAAGCUAGGGGCACGAACCGGAUUAGAUACCCGGGUAGUCCUAGCCGUAAACGAUACUCGCUAGGUGUCGGCCACGGUGCGACCGUUGUCGGUGCCGUAGGGAAGCCGUGAAGCGAGCCACCUGGGAAGUACGGCCGCAAGGCUGAAACUUAAAGGAAUUGGCGGGGGAGCACCACAACGGGUGGAGCUUGCGGUUUAAUUGGAUUCAACGCCGGAAAUCUUACCGGGACCGACAGCAACAGAAGGCCAGGCUAAGAAUCGU